rnacentral:rRNA from 1 species
CGCGUAGGUGGUUGUGAUAGUCAGAUGUGAAAUCCUUUGGCUUAACUGAAGAACUGCAUCUGAAACUUCACAACUCGAGUACAGGAGAGGGAAACGGAAUUCCCGGUGUAGAGGUGAAAUUCGUAGAUAUCGGGAGGAACACCAGUGGCGAAGGCGGUUUCCUGGCCUGAUACUGACACUGAGGCGCGAAAGCGUGGGAGCAAACA